AAAACAGGAUUAGAGUUGCUAAUAGUAACAGCACGCACAUCUUUGGUUUUAAGUCACUAGCAAGCUGCCACCCGGAGGGGCUCCGCCACCGACAACCUGCCCAGCGAGGGGUUCCUCAGCCUCGGCACGGCUGACAUUUGGGGCCGGACUGGUCUUUGUCCCGGGGGGCUGUCCUAUGCUUUGUAGGAUGUUUACCAGCAUCCCUGGACUCCACCCACCACGUUCCGUCAGCACACCCCCAUCCCCAGUUGUAACAACCAAAAAAAGCUCUCCAGACUUUGCCACGUGUCCCCUGGGAGGCAGAAAUCCUCCCCAUUGAGAAUCGGUCCUCUACCCACAAUGGAAGCACAUUUUUGCAUGUUGCCCUCAGAUGGACCUGUGGUAAAUGGACCUUUAAGGAGAGGAUAAGCACCCACAAGUUCAAGUUUGCUGGUAUCUGCUUAAAGUCGGUCCUGUCACUGGGGGGUGGGGCACCCACCUCCAUGACGUGCCUGUGUUCCAAAAGUAAACUCCCAGAGCUCGGGGUCCAUAUGUUUGUCUUUUGUCUUGAUGCCACACUCAGCCCAGCGCCAUCUGACGAAAGUGUCUUAUAAAUGUGGUUUUCCCUCUUCCUUAAUCAUCGGGUAACCAGCUGUUCCGAGAGGUGAGACGCUUAGGAUCUCCCUGGAUUAGAAGGAGCUUAGAAGGAGCUUGGAUUAGAAGUCCAAAUGCCCCCGUAGCUCAGGAAUUCCCUUGCGGCAGAAAAUUUAACACAGUCGCAGUUCACGGAAUGCCUGUGGUUUGCACAGCAUCAUGUAAGAGCUUGGGAGACGGUGACUGAACCGUAGGUUGAAUCUCUUCCCUGACCUCGGGAACAUUCCCGGCCAGCGAAGGAGACAGACAUGCACCCAAGUACAGCUCAAGACAGAAUGACAGAUGUUGACUCAAAACAUGACACUCUAGGCCUGUCCUGUCCACUGCAGUGGCUGCUAGCCACCUGUGGCUAUUUCAUUUUAAACCAAUGAAAAGUAGUAGGUAGGGAAGGGCAUAGCUCAGUGGUAGAGCGCGUGCUUAGCACGCACAGGGUCCUGGGUUCAAUCCCCCCGUACUUCCACUAAAAAAAAAAAUUAAACCAAUUAAAAUUAAAUAACAUUCUAAAUGCCAUUCCUCAGUCACGCCAGCCACAUGCCAGCAGCUACAGGAUGCGGGGCACUCCCAUGCUGGAUGGCACAGGGCAGAGCGUUUCAGUCACUGCAGAAAGCUCUGCUGGGCAGCUUUGUUCCAUUAAAAUGAAGUGGGGGGCGGGGGGGGAGUAGGAACUAGGAGCAAACAGCAGGCCCGGCAUCUGGGAGGCAUUUAGACCCCUUCCUCUCAUGCGUCCGCGACGCCAGAUCAGUCACCAACCCGCGUUAAUAUCUCCUGAAUGUCUCUGCUCCUGUCUACGAUUUGUCUGUAUGUGAUGCUUUCCAGGACCUCUGGCUGUGUCCCAGACCUCAAUCCACCCGAGACAAAUACCUUUGCCUGGCUUUUCUAGGGCCUGGACAUCACCCCCCAAAUUGUACAUGCUUCUCGCGAGGAAGCUCAGCAUAAGAUAGGACUUUCUGCCACACCUGAUGUCUUAGGGGUCAAGGCUGCAAUUUGGCUCUGCAUCCAGUCACUCCUUGUUUCAGCACAGCAUGCACAGGCACCAGUCCUUCCGCUCAUCUGCUCCUGCCACCUCCCCUCCCCAGGAUCCUCUCCACCACAUAGGAAGCCCUGGAGCUGUCCCUCUCUGCUUCCACAUCUGGUGGAAAUUCUCCUGUGGAGAAGCUCAGAUUUCUCCGCUCACCGCAGGAGGUCCCCUGGACUCAGAUCCUGGGGUG